GAUAGCUCAGUUGGUAAAGAAUCUGCUUGCAAUGCAGGAGACCCUGGUUCAAUUCCUGGAUCA
rnacentral:tRNA from 1 species